rnacentral:rRNA from 1 species
UGACGGUACCUGACUAAGAAGCUCCGGCUAAAUACGUGCCAGCAGCCGCGGUAAUACGUAUGGAGCAAGCGUUAUCCGGAUUUACUGGGUGUAAAGGGAGCGUAGACGGCAUGGCAAGUCUGAUGUGAAAACCCUGGGCUCAACCCAGGAACUGCAUUGGAAACUGUUAAGCUAGAGUGCAGGAGAGGUAAGUGGAAUUCCUAGUGUAGCGGUGAAAUGCGUAGAUAUUAGGAGGAACACCAGUGGCGAAGGCGGCUUACUGGACUGUAACUGACGUUGAGGCUCGAAAGCGUGGGGAGCAAACAGGAUUAGAUACCCUG